rnacentral:rRNA from 1 species
AACGAACGCUGGCGGCAUGCCUAACACAUGCAAGUCGAACGAAGUCUUCGGACUUAGUGGCGCACGGGUGCGUAACGCGUGGGAAUCUGCCCUUGGGUACGGAAUAACUCAGAGAAAUUUGUGCUAAUACCGUAUAAUGUCUUCGGACCAAAGAUUUAUCGCCCAAGGAUGAGCCCGCGUAAGAUUAGCUAGUUGGUGGGGUAAAAGCCUACCAAGGCGACGAUCUUUAGCUGGUCUGAGAGGAUGAUCAGCCACACUGGGACUGAGACACGGCCCAGACUCCUACGGGAGGCAGCAGUGGGGAAUAUUGGACAAUGGGCGAAAGCCUGAUCCAGCAAUGCCGCGUGAGUGAUGAAGGCCCUAGGGUUGUAAAGCUCUUUUAACAGGGAUGAUAAUGACAGUACCUGGAGAAUAAGCUCCGGCUAACUCCGUG